rnacentral:misc_RNA from 1 species
UUCUUGAUCGCCUUGAGGAAGUUUCCUGAACUAUGAUGCUACCAUCUACGCUACUACAUCCAUCCAUGAAAUCCUCCUCAGAGAAGCUCAGGCUCAUCCCUGUUGUCACUUCAAAGGCAUCAUUCCUCACAACAGAUAAGACUGAUGGAAGUUCUUCCCAGUCUCCAGCAUAGAAAUGCACUGAUGGGGAAAGAGGAUAUCUUGAUGGAGUAAGAGGGCUCUCUGGCUGUCGGCUCUGGCUGUCCCGAGCUUGCUCAAGAUUAGCAAGGACAUUUGGUAUAGUUGUGCACCUUAUGGUUUCUGCAUUCAGGUCUUGGAAGUGAACCACACAAGCUCCCUUGAGGCAAGCAAAAAUUCCUGGAAGACCAUAGCCACAACCAAGCUCAAGUACCCUCUUGCCUCUAAAACUCAGUUGUCCAUCGCGAAUCUCAUGCUUAAGGACAUUUACAAGAUCAAUAGAGUUGUCCCAAGAUUUCACAGACCCAUCAGGCUUUGCAGAUAUCAUUUCAGAACCAGUGAACCCAAUAAUAUCAGCAACACUAAUUCUUCCCUUGAACACAUUAAGCCCUUGCAUUUCUACAUUAUCCUCAGCAUACUUAUAAGGGUGCGCCAUCUUU